CCUGCCCAAUGAGAGAUUUGAAUGGCCGCGGUAUAUUGACCGUGCAAAGGUAGCAUAAUAAUUAGUCCUUUAAUUGAGGUCUGGAAUGAAUGGUUGAACGAGAAGAAGGCUGUCUAUGGUUAUUAUUAAUUAGAAUUUUAUUUUUUAGUGAAAAAGCUUAAAUUAUCUUGGGGGACGAUAAGACCCUAUAGAUCUUUAUAUCUAAGUGGGUAAUAAUAAGUAAUAUAGAUCAGUUAGGUGUUUAUUGGGGUGAUAGGGAGAUAGGUUUAACUCUCUUAUGAAGUAAUAAGUUACAUAUUAGUAUUAUUUGAUGAUCCGUUAUUUACGAUAGUUGGAUUAAGUUACCUUAGGGAUAACAGCGUAAUUUUUUUUGAGAGUUCAUAUCGACAAGAAAGUUUGCGACCUCGAUGUUGGAUUAAGGUUUUCUUGGUGGUGUAGAAGCUACCAUAGGAGGGUCUGUUCG
rnacentral:rRNA from 1 species